ACUGGCUUCAUUUUCACUCUUACAUUAAACUUUAUGACACAUUAAAUUACAAGUGGAUUGUCCUUAUUGUCUCCAAGUGCAUUCUGGGUAAAGCUUGUCACCAGCCGAUGAAGUUAACGUGAGUUGAGUUCCAUGAAGCGGCAAAGUGAAAAGGAUGGAAAAAAGCGAGCAAAGAAAAGCCAAAAACUGGACGCAUAUUUUGUUCCUCGUCUUGGAGAUGAGCCGGACCAAAUCAGCAAAGGAGCCGGACUAGUUACAGGUACACUGAUUGUAUCAACCGAGCUGCCCAGCUCACAACCCCUUUUCUCUCCGUCUGUGGAACAGAGGUGAUGUCAGGGACUGAAGGCUGAGUUAUUGUUGCAGUUUUGACAGUUCGGGUUGAGCGCGUUUUUGAGCCAAGACAGCAGUAUGGCAUUUAUAGUUAAGUGUUCACAUUGUAGCCGCCUGGAAGACCAUCUUCUAGAUCGUCCAGUUUGUGUGAACGCGAUAUGCGCCGAGUUACAAACAUCCAGAGGUGCACGAGGUGCUGCGACAGGCUGCGCAUGUGGCGUGUGUAAUUUUUUUUUUAACGGUGGAAUUCUGGGAACCCCAAAAUGUAAAAAAACGUAGAUUUUACGGUAAAACGCCGGCAGCUGGGGUUGGCAAAAUUCCACCGUAAAAACAAUUUACGGUGUUGGGAACCCAGGUUGUUGGAAUGGUUCCUUUUUGCUGAUUUCCCCCUCUUUUACCACCAGAGGGUGCCAAGAGGCUGUUCCCUCCCAAGGGCGUUGCCGUUGAUUCCGGGAUUCCUGCACAGCUGCAAUUAAUCAGAUCAUCUGGAGGAGUAUAUGAGGACAGAGCUGCCGACACUUCAGAUCCAGAGUGUUAGCCAGUAUUUGGUACUCCAGCCCUCCAUGCUUCUCACUGUGAUUUCCUGUUGUGGACUUCCAAGUGAUAUCCCUUUGUGCUUCUUCCUCAGGUUAUUCCUUGUGACGCUGUGGACCCACUGGUUGCCAGAGUUCCACUGACACCUCUGCAGUAGACCAAACCUCUUUGGAUUACCCUGUUGUCAGUCUCACUCGCUCCUCGCCUUCUGUGAUCCAAAGCUUACCUCUCCUCCACCACAGCCUCUUCAUCAGUCAAGCAGCAACCCUCCACCUGAACCAAACCAAGGUAACCACAGUGAUUCUUCCCCCCAGACAAGACCUACCUCCACCCAAUGCUCCAGUGAUCCAGAUUGCAGACUUUCCCCAGAACCCGAUUGUUGAUCAUUAUUUUGUGUUUACAAUAAACUUAUUUAACUGA